rnacentral:rRNA from 1 species
GAUGAACGCUGGCGGCGUGCCUAAUACAUGCAAGUCGAGCGAACAGAUGAGGAGCUUGCUCCUCUGACGUUAGCGGCGGACGGGUGAGUAACACGUGGAUAACCUACCUAUAAGACUGGGAUAACUUCGGGAAACCGGAGCUAAUACCGGAUAAUAUAUUGAACCGCAUGGUUCAAUAGUGAAAGACGGUUUUGCUGUCACUUAUAGAUGGAUCCGCGCCGCAUUAGCUAGUUGGUAAGGUAACGGCUUACCAAGGCGACGAUGCGUAGCCGACCUGAGAGGGGGAUCGCCCAACUGGGAACUGAGACCCGGUCCAAACCCCUAGGGGGGGAAGAAGUAGGGAAUCUUCCGCAAGGGGCGAAAGCCUGACGGAGCAACGCCGGGUGGGUGAUGAAGGUUUUCGGAUCGUAAAACCCUGUUAUUAGGGAAGAACAAAUGUGUAAGUAACUAUGCACGUCUUGACGGUACCAAAUCAGAAAGCCGCGGCUAACUACGU